GACGAACGCUGGCGGCGUGCUUAACACAUGCAAGUCGUACGGUAAGGCCCUUUCGGGGGUACACGAGUGGCGAACGGGUGCGUAACACGUGAGUAACCUGCCCACAACUUUGGGAUAACGCUAGGAAACUGGUGCUAAUACUGGAUAUGUGCUCCUGCUGCAUGGUGGGGGUUGGAAAGCUCCGGCGGGUGUGGAUGGACUCGCGGCCUAUCAGCUUGGUGGUAGGGUAGCGGCCUACCAAGGCGGCGACGUGUAGCCGCCCUGAGAGGGUGACCGGCCACCCGGGCACUGGGACACGGUCCAGACGCCGACGGGAGGCAGCAGUAGGGAAUUCUCCGAAAGGGGCGAAAGCCUGACGGAGCAACGCCGGGUGAGGGAUGAAGGUCUGCGGAUCGUAAAACUCUGUUAUUAGGGAAGAACAAAUGUGUAAGUAACUAUGCACGUCUUGACGGUACCUAAUCAGAAAGCCCCGGCUAACUACGUG
rnacentral:rRNA from 1 species